UACGUAGGGGCAAGCGUUGUCCGGAAUUACUGGGCGUAAAGCGCACGCAGGCGGAAUUGUAAGUCCGUUGUAAAAUUCAGAGGCUCAACCUCUGUCUGUCGGCGGAUACUGCAAAUCUAGAGUAUGUGAGAGGGAAGCGGAAUUCCUGGUGUAGCGGUGAAAUGCGUAGAUAUCAGGAGGAACUCCGGUGGCGAAGGCGACUUCCUGGCACAAGACUGACGCUCAUGUGCGAAAGCUAGGGUAGCGAACGGGAUUAGAUA
rnacentral:rRNA from 1 species